rnacentral:tRNA from 1 species
GUCUUUGUAGUAUAAAUAUUAUUUUGGUCUUGUAAACCAAAGAUGGAGAUCAAUAUUCUCCCCAAGACA